rnacentral:rRNA from 1 species
UACGUAGGGGGCAAGCGUUGUCCGGAUUUAUUGGGCGUAAAGAGCGUGUAGGCGGUUAGGUAGGUCCGUUGUGAAAACUCGAGGCUCAACCUCGAGACGCCGAUGGAAACCAUCUGACUAGAGUCCGGAAGAGGAGAGUGGAAUUCCUGGUGUAGCGGUGAAAUGCGCAGAUAUCGGGAAGAACACCCGUGGCUAAGGCGGCUCUCUAGUACGGUACUGACGCUGAGACGCGAAAGCGUGGGGAGCGAACAGG